GAUGAACGCUGGCGGCGUGCCUAAUACAUGCAAGUCGAGCGAACGGACGAGAAGCUUGCUUUUCUGAUGUUAGCGGCGGACGGGUGAGUAACACGUGGAUAACCUACCUAUAAGACUGGGAUAACUUCGGGAAACCGGAGCUAAUACCGGAUAAUAUUUUGAACCGCAUGGUUCAAAAGUGAAAGACGGUCUUGCUGUCACUUAUAGAUGGAUCCGCGCUGCAUUAGCUAGUUGGUAAGGUAACGGCUUACCAAGGCAACGAUGCAUAGCCGACCUGAGAGGGUGAUCGGCCACACUGGAACUGAGACACGGUCCAGACUCCUACGGGAGGCAGCAGUAGGGAAUCUUCCACAAUGGGCGAAAGCCUGACGGAGCAACGCCGCGUGAGUGAUGAAGGUCUUCGGAUCGUAAAACUCUGUUAUUAGGGAAGAACAUAUGUGUAAGUAACUGUGCACAUCUUGACGGUACCUAAACAGAAAGCCACGGCUAACUACGUG
rnacentral:rRNA from 1 species